rnacentral:tRNA from 1 species
GCAGCUUAGGAUAACAUAAGUCCCAGGGCCUUCAAAGCCCUUAGCAGGAGUGUAAUCCUCCUAGCUCCU